GGUUCACUCGAGGAGAUGAGUGAAUCAUGCAGAAGUUUCUUUGGCCGAUUAAUCGAGUCGUUGUUAGUCUGGGGAAGCAAAUUACCUGUUGAGUCAAGGGCAUGCUACUCGAAGAUGGCAGAGGAGCUAUGCGCGCUUCUGGUGGACACCCCAAGCGAGACGCUGAACCUACCCAUGGGGUGUCUUCUAACGAUGCUCAACGCUCCAGUUCCGGACGAGAGCAGGUCGUCGUACCUGCAGGACGCACUCUCUGUCUUCACCGAAAUCCUUUGCAGUGAUCCGUAGCACAAGGGUCCACGGUGUUGCCGUAAUCUGGGUGAAGGGAAGUGAAGCCUACAGGCAACACGCCGAAGAGUUUGUACGUCUCAUGUUUGGUACUUGUAGAAAAAAUUAGGAAUGUAUAACUAUGACCUGAUUUGCUCCGGUGAAUUUGUAACUCCGUCUGAAGACAUGUGUCGGGAUUUUCGUUGUAUGUGAGUACCAGGUCUUGUGAAACGUUGACUUGCGAGCUGUACCAAUAGGGAGUGAUUUCCUGGGCU